CCGGUAUUUACAGUUUCAUGGAGUUCAUACAUCUUAAACCUGGAAAUAGUAGAUUGGAUAAUUGAACCAAAGAUUUUAUGGCAUAAAUGAAGUAAUAUUUCAUGAUUUUCCAAUAAAAACUCUCUCAAACAGUGCUGGAUCUGGUUUUGCCAUUGCCACAUAUAAACCCACAAUGUCAAUAAACACAUAAUGUCAACAGUAUGUUGAAUGUGUGUAUAUAUGGAAGGGCAACAGCAGAAUAAAUCACCCAAACUAGAUGGGUCUAAUCCUACUAUUACCAGAUCGGUGUUGACCUUGUUCACAGAUGGAGGCCUGUGUAUUCAAUGUCUGUGCUUGUUCUCUUUCCAGGAAACAAUAUGUGGUGACGUUGCCAACAGCCAGUGAUAAAGUGGGCUAUCAAACCCAGUGGGCUUCUACACUGGUUUGGAAAUCUCUUUCUCUGUGUACAUUUCCCUUUCUGGUGAAGGAAGCAGAUGCUUGGACACAUAAUGAUCAUGCUAUGACAAGCGUGUCUCUAUAGGUCAGAGGAAUGAGGACAGCGUCCUGUCUGGUGGGUGCUCGUUUCCUCACAGCGAUGGACGCUAGUCCUUUCGACUGACCUUGGGAAGGACGGAAAAAGAGAAAGACAUUGAUAAGAAACUUUUAAAGCCCGGAUGUACAAAUACAGAGAAAUGACAAAUAGAGACUUGUUCAGUUUGUCAACUUGGAGCUUCUAAGAGUGAGUCCAUUUUUUUGGAGUGAUACUUAACCACCAAGACAACAAUGCAACUCGCGCAAUUCCAAGUACAUAUCCCUCUUAUCAGUGCACAGCUGAGAGGAUGUGGGCGAUAAAGUCAACGGUGGUUACGGUGGAGUGCAGACCAGCACGCUGAGGAUUCAUCAGAAGUCUUCGGCAGAAAUGAGCUGCUGCCUGACUCUCUGUGAGCAAAAUAAAGAAGCAGUCAAGUGUUUCCUCGAAAAUUGAGUGCUGAGAGAGCAAGUAUAUAUCAGUUUAUCAGAAGGCUAACGAAGCUAAUACAUGCUCCAUUAUUAAGACUGUGUGACCUGAGGGGCUUUUGUUAAACAAACUGAGAUGACAUGAACGAAGAGGAUUAGAAUAAUUAACAUAAAUGACUCUGCAAAAAUGAAUAAAUCUGCAAAAGACCCUCCACAAAAAUGUUUCAUUGUUCUCACUACUAGAUCUGCACCUGUAGCUUAUAGCAAAUGACUUUUAAGCAGGUAUCUGCCAGAAAACAUCACCAUUUAGUUCUUAAUUUAUCCAUAUUUAUAUCAUAAUCAUCAAAAAAUAAAAAUAAAAAUAAAAUCAGGAGUUGAUAAAUGUGC
ensembl:lncRNA